UUUCCCUUUUGGGUACAUCCUAUAAAUUGGCCCUAUAGAGAAUAUUCGUAUGGUCCCUGUCUUAGGAUGAUACUCAUAAAUUGAGAAAGCCUAAUUUUUU